rnacentral:rRNA from 1 species
GACGAACGCUGGCGGCGUGCUUAACACAUGCAAGUCGAACGCUGAAGCUUGGUGCUUGCACUGGGUGGAUGAGUGGCGAACGGGUGAGUAAUACGUGAGUAACCUGCACUUGACUCUGGGAUAAGCCUGGGAAACUGGGUCUAAUACUGGAUACGACAUGUCACCGCAUGGUGGUGUGUGGAAAGGGCUUUACUGGUUUUGGCUGGGCUCACGGCCUAUCAGCUUGUUGGUGGGGUAAUGGCUCACCAAGGCGACGACGGGUAGCCGGCCUGAGAGGGUGACCGGCCACACUGGGACUGAGACACGGCCCAGACUCCUACGGGAGGCAGCAGUAGGGAAUAUUGCACAAUGGGCGGAAGCCUGAUGCAGAGACGCCGCGUGAGGGAUGACGGCCUUCGGGUUGUAAACCUCUUUCAGCACGGAAGAAGCGAAAGUGACGGUACGUGCAGAAGGAGCGCCGGCUAGCUACGUG